GCCAGGUGUGGUGGCAGGCACCUGUAAUCCCAGCUACCUGGAGGCUGAGGCAGGAGAAUCGCUUGAACACGGGAGGCGGAGGUUGCAGUGAGCUGAGAUCGCGCCACUGCACUCCAUCCCUCCAUCCUGGGCAACACAGAGUGAGGCUAUCUCAAUUUUUUUUUUUUUUUUUUUUGAGGCAGAGUCUCGCUCUGUUGCCCAGGCUGGAGUGCAGUGGAACAAACUCAGCUCACCACAACCUCCCGUGUUCAAGCGAUUCUCCUGCCUCAG
rfam:Homo sapiens chromosome 19, GRCh38 reference primary assembly.